CCAUCUUGUUGUUGAUCCGUACCCAGUGGCCAGCGCUGGGAGCUGGACCCAGCGGCCUGCGUGGGGCCGCUGCAGUGGGGCUCAGCACCUGCGCCGCCUGCCAGGGGGCGGGCCGAAACCUGGAGGCCCGGGGGGCUCAGCUCCCGUGGGGAGCCUCGGGCGCCCGCAGCCCGGCCAGGGCGGUACUGGAAAUUGAACCCAGGGCUUCAGGCAUGCCAGAGGCUGAGCUCACCCUACAACAAGUGUACUGUCCAGGUGAGAAUCACCCAACGCCCUCCACUCCCAAUGCACCAGCGAUGCCUAUCUUUGUGUCUAAGCAACAGCAAUUGGCAGAGGUUGCUGAGGACUGACAAGUCACUCCAGGAUGCCCAGGAUGAUAGUGGUAUGGCCCAGUCUGAGGAGGGUGCUUGGGUCACAGAUGGAAUCCACUUACCACUUUGGUUCAAAUGGCAGAAGCUUUAGUUCCCGCUUGCUACCCAGCUGCCAUUCACUGCAGCUGACAAGAGUGCAGAUGCAGUACAGGAACCCUCCUUUGCCUCCUGGGAAGCUUUCCAGGCACAGAAUGGAGAUAGACAGUAAGGAAAGAAGUGCCCAUCCCACACCCACAGAGCAGUAUCCAGACUAUCCAUCAUAUGAUGCAGGUCAGUGCUAUAUAGAACAGAAACAUGCUACUCUUGCUUGGGGGAAAUGACUUUAAAAGCACAAAAGUUAUUACCUGUUUUCCAAACCUAACUUUGGGAAAAGGCAGCAGGAUAAAAUGCCAUUAGUUCUAAUGAUUAAGCUUGUAAAAAAUUAAUCAUAUGAGAAGCAGCCUGCAGGCCAGCAUCUAGGCCCCUCAUACUGUCUCUGGAGACUGAACUGCAACCUAGGAGGGGACUCUUACCGGGUCAGCAAAACUUCAUCUUUGGUCUAGUCUAAAAACUGCUCUUGGCAAAAUUACUAAAUCAGCCACAUGGCAUGUAACAAUUGUUAAGUUAUUUGAAAAGUAGUGUUAAUACUUUGACCAUGUUGUAAAAAAAGCCAUCUAAAAAAUAAAGAGAGGAAGGCCAGGAAAAAGGCAGGUGCCAAGGAGGUCUGAAAGGUCCAGCCAGGGACACUCAUGUAUGCAGGUUGGGUUCAGCUCCACCUCAGGUCAGCUUGUUCCACUUGAUGGUGUAGAGCAGCUUUUCAGGAGUGCCUUGUGGUAGAACUCAGGCAGCUUCAGCAGGUUGUGUAGGUACUGGCUGUGGGAAGCUGAUGGAGGUCAGAUCCCCCAGUGUAGAUACAAAAUUCAGGGUAAAGCUCCUUAAUCCCCAAGAUGUGUCAGAGCACAGCUUGUUACAAUUUGAGCAAUUUGUGCUUUUCUUCAUCAAUGAAACCUACAACGCUCCAAAAUUUUUUUUUGUGCGGGGAUCAAACAGGGUCCUUGCGCUUGCGCAGCAGGCAGCGAAACCACUGAGCUAAAUCCCCGGCCCUCUCCAAAAUAUUUUAAUGACAGGAUAGUUUGUAAAGGAUUUUAGGUCCUCUAGCCUUAUGGUAACUUGAAUACCAGAAAUUUAUACAGUAAGUCCUGACUUACAAACAUUUGAGUUUCGAACUUUCACAGAUACAAACAGACCUUGUAUUAUGAACAUUCCUAGAUGUGAACAGAUCACCAAAGUAAAAAUACUUUCUUUACAGUACAGUGGUACCUUGGUUUACGAACUUAAUUUGUCUUACAAUUUUGGGGAAGAUGGCUGCAUUUGUGUUUGUUUGGGGAGGAUGGCCGUGGUUGUGUCUAUUUAUUUAUUUAAUUUAUUUUUAGAUGGGCUUUCACUCUGUAAUUCAGGCUGGCCUUGAACUCAAGGCAAUCCUCUCUCAGCCUCCUGAGUGCUGGGCUUAUAGAAAUGUGCUACCAUGCCCAGCUACAUGAUGGUAGUGUUUGUCACCAGAUGCAGAGUUUGCAAAUGAAAGCAAGAUUUUGCCAAAUGCUUUUGCUUGUGAACCGAAUUGUUUACAAGAGAUCCUUUUUUUGGUACCAGGGAUCAAACUUUGGUCCUUGGACUUGUGAGCUAGGUGGUGGAACCACUGAGCUAAAUCCCCAGCCCCCGAAUUGUUUAUAAACGGAAGUGUUUGUGAACAGAGGCAUGACUAUUUUUAUGUGUGUAUUUAGUUUUUUUAUGCUUUACGUUGAAUAUUUGUGUCAUAGUUGCACAGUAUUUUAAGACUCAGUCAGGAACAAAUCCAUCUUACAAAUGUUCUCCCAGAACAGAACUCAUUCGUAAGUUGGGGACUUACUGUACUUGAAUUUCCUUGCUGGUCAAACAUCCCACAGCCAUUCCAGGCUGACGACUUAGUCAGGACUUGUCAGAAUGGCAGGCACUGUGGGCAAAUCUGUUCAUCCUGGAUUCAGCCACAAAGUAGGUGUACAUGAUGUGUUUGGCACUGUGCUGACAGGGAUAUCUUUCCCACCAAAUUUUAGUUCAGCCACCUGGGCCUCUCUCAGGUUGUUCUUCAUCAGGUUGAAGUUCCGCCCCAGCCCCUCCAUGUCUCCCUGUAGCUCUUGAGGAAUAGUAGAGUAGGUUCCUGUAGACCUCAGUGACUAGGGAGGUUGGGUGGUGGAUGCCCACAUCUGUACCUGGUCCCUAGCAGCUUGGAGAGAAAGAAGCUUGGAAGGGCAGCUCCACCAGCCUGUUUUCAUAGAGAGCCUUUCAGAGUAUUCUGCCUAGGAAGUAGUAAUUGAACAAGUAAUCUUCCACAAGUAUCUGAGCAGCUGGGAUGGGAUACAGAAGCCCUCCAUUAGUAGUCUUAAAGAACCCCUGGUUGGGAUAAAUCCUAGUUUCAGUAACUCAUUUAAAAGCUGUCUGAAGGGCCCGGGGAUUUAGGUCAGUGGUUCGGGCACCUGCCUCAUAAGCGCAAGGUCCCAAGUUUAAUCCCUGGUGCCAAAAAAAAAAAAGGUUAAAUAAAAUUAAAUAAAUAAAACCUGUCUGAGGGCUGCGGGUUUAGCUCAGUGGUGCCACCACCUGCCUCACAAACGCAAGAUCCUGAGUUCAGUCCUCAGUACAAAAAAGCUGUCUGAAAAUACCACCACCAUAGAUUCCAGCUUCAUCAAGACCAUGGGCAUUGAGCAAGUGCACACAGAUCUGCUUUUUCAAAUCAUGCUCGUUUUGGGGGGCAAAGUUUAUCACAAGCAUCUUCAUAAAUAUAAUUUCUUCUUCUUCUUUUUUUUUUUUUGGUACCAGGGAUUGAACUCAGAUCCUUGUGCUUGCGAGGCUGGCAGCAGAACCACUGAGCUAAAUCCCUGGCCCCUAUAAUUUCUUCUUAUAGUGACAUUCUAUCCAGAAAUGGACCACCUCUUUGAAUUUGCUUAUCUGCAUAGAUCAAACUUGGAAAGAUUCUCACUCUCUCCUUACCUGGGACCACAAAAGGCAGCUCUGUCAGAAUUGUGAGCUGCCGCUCCUUAGAUACAGAUAGCAAUGGGGAUUCCAAACACCUAGAGUGGACUGCAGCAGGCUGGUCUCUGCAUUGGCUGGAACCUCUAUACAGUGUCUGGAUCCUAACGUAUACUGGUACAGCUGGGUGACCUUAUUUGCUUUAAUAUCUUUUUUUUUUUUUGGUACCAGGGAUCGAACUCAGAUCCUUGUGCUUGCGAGGCUGGCAGCAGAACCAUUGAGCUAAACCCCCGGCCCUGCUUUAAUAUCUUUUUGUUCUGAUUGCCAGUGAUUUGGAGAACAAAAAAUUCUCGUUAUGUUUCUCUAGAUUUCAGUAUUUUCAGGAUUGGUGAUAACUUUAAACAACUGAAUCCAUUGUUUUUUAUUAUUCCAUCUGUGUACAGUUACAACCCAGAAUUAAUAGUAACUGAUAUUUCAAAAGGCUAAAAAAACCCCAAAACACUCCAAAAUGCUGUAAUAAAUUCUUUUUUUGUUGAACAGGGUCUCACUAUGUAACUCAGGCUGGCCUUGAACUUGUGAUGAUCCUCUUGCUUCAGCCUCCCAAGUGCUGGGAUUACAGGCCAUGCCCAGCAAUAUAUAUUUUUCUUGAACCUCUGGUUUUGUUUCUGGGUAUGCCAGCUUGAUUAUCCCUAAACAGGCAUUUUGAAGCAGUGAGACAGCAUGAUCAGCUUCUCCACAGUGAAAGGCAUCACUGAUGAUUGUUUUUGUUUUUGUUUUUGUUUUAUUGGUACCGGGGAUCGAACUCGGGUCCUUGUGCUUGCGUGAUGAUUGUUUUUGACCUGCAACUUCUAUGGAUUAUCAAAGAAUUCAUUAUCAUAUAUGGAAAUCAGCAAAUGAUUAUACACAUAGGGUUAAAGCGAGAAAAGGUGGGAAUUAUUUAACUAGAUUCUUCCAAAGACAUGGGAGAACCCCAAGAUAUCACUUAGAACAAUGGCACCAUGAACCCCGUGAUCAUCUGUGUUGUCAUGGAAGAGAUGAGAAACCAAAGGUGCCUCAAACCUGCCAUUGAAAGCUAAACUGUAGAGAAGCCUGACUGGGCACCAUUGUGUGGUGCGGCACCAUGAGCGUGUGACAGAUGGAGGCCAUCCUUGUGAAAGCCCUCCGUGCUGGCCAAGUCUCUUCACACCAGGCUUAGCAGUGUGUUGGGCUGCUGCUUUGUGUUCAGCUUCCUCAGGCCCUCCUCAGUUAUGUAUGGGGUGGAGACAGCGUUGCUCAGGUUGAUGGGCUCACCGGCCUCCUCACAUUUUCAGAGUCACUGGCAGUGUUGAGAGCUGGCUGUGGCAGUUGAGGCAGGUAACUGGGAAAGGAAGGUCAGGAGCAUCUGUAGACCAGCAGGCUCUACUUGGAGAGCGUCCCCAAAUAAUUUUCACCAACAGUUAGAAUAGACAAGUCAUGCUGCUCACCACUCCUUUCUGAACAUCCUCUCUCUAGUAACAAUAAUGCAUUCAGAAAGGGUUCAAAAGGGAAAGCAGGCUGUACAUCUGCUUAGUGCAGAAAUGACGAAAUGAAAAACCUAAUCUGUAAAAGGUGCUGCCAGAAAUGCCUCUGUGAAGGCUGAAAAAACUUGUUUUGUACCUUCUGGACAGUAGUUGUACAUAAAAUGCAGGGGUUUUAGGACAUUCUCCAACAAAAUUUUUGCUGUAAGAACUCAGAUAAAUCGGAAUAUUCAGUACUUAAUGGAAGCUUGCUGUUAAUCAAUAGAGAGAUAAUACCCAUUGUGACUCAUGUAGCACAAAAUUUGUGCAGUCAUUGAUACAAUGUAGCAAGCAUCCUGCAGAACAGACAGAUAAGGCUGGGGAUUUAGCUCAGUGGUUUCUCCGCCUGCUGCGCCAAGCACAAGGACCUGAGUUCGAGCCCCAGUACCAAAAAAAACCCAAAAAAACCCACAGACAAAUAAAGUAUUUGCAGGGGAAAACACCUCAAGACAUUCCCAUUAGAAGUGCAACAUUUGGGCCGGGGAUUUAGCUCAUUGGUUCCGCCGCCUGCCUUGCAAGCGGAAGGACCUGAGUUCGAUCCCUGGUACCAAAAAAAAAAAAAAAAAGUGCAACAUUCAAACUGUCCUCAUUACAGUUUUGUAGCAGCCUAUAGCAGAGGCUCAUCAACUUCUUUAUCUGAAUAUUUAAU
ensembl:lncRNA